CUGGAAUGGCUUAUGGUCUAAGCAGUUUACUGCCAUGGGAUGGGACUGCGGCCUAUCAGCUUGUUGGUGAGGUAAUGGCCCACCAAGGCUAUAACAGGUACGGGCUCUGAGAGGAGAAGCCCGGAGAUGGGUACUGAGACACGGACCCAGGCCCUAUGGGGCGCAGCAGGCGAGAAACCUUAGCAAUGUGUGAAAGCACGACUGGGUCAGUCCGAGUGAUUCCUGAUAAAGGAGUCUUUUAUCUGUCCUAAAAGCACAGGUGAAUAAGGGGUGGGCAAGUCUGGUGUCAGCCGCCGCGGUAAUACCAGCACCUCGAGUGGUCAGGACGUUUAUUGGGCCUAAAGCAUCCGUAGCCGGCUUUGCAAGUCUUCGGUUAAAUCCACCUGCUCAACAGAUGGGCUGCUGGAGAUACUACAAAGCUAGGGAGUGGGAGAGGCAGACGGUAUUCAGUGGGUAGGGGUAAAAUCCUCUGAUCCAUCGAGGACCACCAGUGGCGAAGGCGGUCUGCCAGAACACGUUCGACGGUGAGGGAUGAAAGCUGGGGGAGCAAACCGGAUUAGAUACCCGGGUAGUCCCAGCUGUAAACGAUGCAAACUCGGUGAUGCAUUGGCUUACGACCAAUGCAGUGCCGCAGGGAAGCCGUUAAGUUUGCCGCCUGGGAAGUACGGACGCAAGUCUGAAACUUAAAGGAAUUGGCGGGGGAGCACCACAAGGGGUGAAGCCUGCGGUUCAAUUGGACUCAACGCCGGU
rnacentral:rRNA from 1 species